rnacentral:rRNA from 1 species
CCACGGAAGUUUUCAGAGAUGAGAAUGUGCCUUCGGGAACCGUGAGACAGGUGCUGCAUGGCUGUCGUCAGCUCGUGUUGUGAAAUGUUGGGUUAAGUCCCGCAACGAGCGCAACCCUUAUCCUUUGUUGCCAGCGGUCCGGCCGGGAACUCAAAGGAGACUGCCAGUGAUAAACUGGAGGAAGGUGGGGAUGACGUCAAGUCAUCAUGGCCCUUACGACCAGGGCUACACACGUGCUACAAUGGCGCAUACAAAGAGAAGCGACCUCGCGAGAGCAAGCGGACCUCAUAAAGUGCGUCGUAGUCCGGAUUGGAGUCUGCAACUCGACUCCAUGAAGUCGGAAUCGCUAGUAAUCGUGGAUCAGAAUGCCACGGUGAAUACGUUCCCGGGCCUUGUACACACCGCCCGUCACACCAUGGGAGUGGGUUGCAAAAGAAGUAGGUAGCUUAACCUUCGGGAGGGCGCUUACCACUUUGUGAUUCAUGACUGGGGUGAAGUCGUAACAAGGUAACCGUAGGGGAACCUGCGGUUGGAUCACCUC